CUCGCGGCCUAUCAGCUUGUUGGUGAGGUAAUGGCUCACCAAGGCGUCGACGGGUAGCCGGCCUGAGAGGGUGACCGGCCACACUGGGACUGAGACACGGCCCAGACUCCUACGGGAGGCAGCAGUGGGGAAUAUUGCACAAUGGGCGGAAGCCUGAUGCAGCAACGCCGCGUGAGGGAUGACGGCCUUCGGGUUGUAAACCUCUUUUAGCAGGGAAGAAGCGAGAGUGACGGUACCUGCAGAAAAAGCGCCGGCUAACUACGUGCCAGCAGCCGCGGUAAUACGUAGGGCGCAAGCGUUAUCCGGAAUUAUUGGGCGUAAAGAGCUCGUAGGCGGUUUGUCGCGUCUGCUGUGAAAUCCCGAGGCUCAACCUCGGGCCUGCAGUGGGUACGGGCAGACUAGAGUGCGGUAGGGGAGAUUGGAAUUCCUGGUGUAGCGGUGGAAUGCGCAGAUAUCAGGAGGAACACCGAUGGCGAAGGCAGAUCUCUGGGCCGUAACUGACGCUGAGGAGCGAAAGGGUGGGGAGCAAACAGGCUUAGAUACCCUGGUAGUCCACCCCGUAAACGUUGGGAACUAGUUGUGGGGACCAUUCCACGGUUUCCGUGACGCAGCUAACGCA
rnacentral:rRNA from 1 species